rnacentral:misc_RNA from 1 species
GAUGAAGAACGCAGCGAAAUGCGAUAAGUAGUGUGAAUUGCAGAAUUCAGUGAAUCAUCGAAUCUUUGAACGCACAUUGCGCCCUUUGGUAUUCCAAAGGGCAUGCCUGCUCGAGCGUCAUUUGUACCCUCAAGCUUUGCUUGGUGUUGGGCGUCUUGUCUCUAGCUUUGCUGGAGACUCGCCUUAAAGUAAUUGGCAGCCGGCCUACUGGUUUCGGAGCGCAGCACAAGUCGCACUCUCUAUCAGCAAAGGUCUAGCAUCCAUUAAGCCUUUUUUUCAACUUUUGACCUCGGAUCAGGUAGGGAUACCCGCUGAACUUAAGCAUAUCAAUAAGCGGAGGA